rnacentral:rRNA from 1 species
UACGGAGGGUGCAAGCGUUAAUCGGAAUUACUGGGCGUAAAGCGCACGCAGGUGGCUGAGUCAGUCGAUUGUGAAAGCCCUGGGCUUAACCUGGGAAUUGCAUUCGAGACUGAGUAGCUAGGGUGCGGUAGAGGGAAGCGGAAUUUCCGGUGUAGCGGUGAAAUGCGUAGAUAUCGGAAGGAACAUCAGUGGCGAAAGCGGCUUCCUGGACCAGCACCGACGUUCAGGCACGAAAGCGUGGGGAGCAAACAGG